rnacentral:rRNA from 1 species
AGAAUCAACGCUGGCGGCGUGCCUAACACAUGCAAGUCGAACGCGAAAGCCCCGCAAGGGGCAAGUAGAGUGGCAAACGGGUGAGUAACGCGUGGGCGACCUACCUUCAAGUGGGGGAUAACCUUCCGAAAGGAGGGCUAAUACCGCAUAACAUCCUGUUUUUAGAUAGACGGGUAUCAAAGCCGGGGAUCGCAAGACCUGGCGCUAGAAGAGGGGCCCGCGUCCGAUUAGCUAGUUGGUGAGGUAACGGCUCACCAAGGCUCCGAUCGGUA